AUACUUACCUGACCGGGGAGAACCAUGAUCAUGAAGGUGAUUGUCAUGAAGGCUUAUCCAUUGCACUCCAGAUGUGCUGACCCCUGAGAUUUCCCUAAAUGUGGGAAACUUGAAUGCCUAAUUUGUGGUAAUGGGACUGCAUUUGUACUUUCUCCAG
ensembl:snRNA U1 U1 spliceosomal RNA